rnacentral:rRNA from 1 species
CGGGAUUUACUUUUUUCAAUUCUUCGGAAGAGAAGUUAGUAAUGAGAGCGGCGAACGGGUGAGUAAUGAAUGGGUAAUAUGCCUCUUUGUUCGGAAUAGCUAUCGGAAACGGUAGGUAAUGCCGGAUGUGAUCGGCCACUGCAUGGUGGUUUGUUUAAAGGCGGGGAAUCUUCGGAUCCUGUCGCAAAGAGAUUGGCCCAUUUCCUAUCAGCUUGUUGGUGAGGUAAUGGCUCACCAAGGCUUACGGGUAGCUGGUCUGAGAGGAUGGUCAGCCACACUGGAACUGAGACACGGUCCAGACUCCUACGGGAGGCUGCAGUCGAGAAUCAUUGUCGAUGCACGAAAGUGUGAACAUGCGACGCCGCGUGGAGGAAGACGGCCUUCGGGUUGUAAACUCCUGUCAGCAGGGAAGAAGGGAAUACCACUAACAUUGGUAUGACUAGACGGUACCUGCAGAGGAAGUCACGGCUAACUCUGUGCCAGCAGCCGCGGUAAUACAGAGGUGGCGAACGUUGUUCGGAUUUACUGGGCGUAAAGGGUCCGCAGGCGGAUCAGUGUGUCGGAUGUGAAAGCUCACAGCUUAACUGUGGAAUUGCAUUCGAAACUGCUGAUCUAGAGUACUGGAGGGGUGAUGGGAACACUUGGUGUAGCGGUGAAAUGCGUAGAUAUCAAGUGGAACACCGGAGGCGAAGGCGCAUCACUGGACAGAUACUGACGCUCAUGGACGAAAGCUAGGGUAGUGAAAGGGAUUAGAUACCCCUGUAAUCCUAGCCGUAAACGGUGUGCACUCGAUGUGGGAGGAUUUACCCCCCUUCCGUAUCUGAGCUAACGCGUUAAGUGCACCGCCUGGGGGAGUACGGUCGCAAGAU